rnacentral:rRNA from 1 species
UACGUAGGGGGCAAGCGUUGUCCGGAUUUACUGGGUGUAAAGGGUGCUCAGGUGGACUUUUAAGUCAGAGGUGAAAUCCCAAAGCUUAACUUUGGAGCUGCCUUUGAUACUGAGAGUCUUGAGUUUGAGAGAGGGCAAUGGAAUAUCUGGUGUAGCAGUGAAAUGCGUAGAUAUCAGAUAGAACACCAAUGGCGAAGGCAGUUGCCUGGCUCAAAACUGACGCUAAAGCACGAAAGUGUGGGGAGCAAACAGG